GCUGCUGUGGCUCAGAGGUAGAGCACGUCCUUGGUAAGGACGAGGCCGCGGGUUCAAUUCCCGCCAGCAGCUCCA
rnacentral:tRNA from 1 species